rnacentral:lncRNA from 1 species
CCCACCCCGGGCAAGCCCUCCCCGUCUGCCACACGCCUGAACACGCGUGUGCCCGCAGCCGGCCGGCCCCCGGCCAUCUGUCUGUGUGUCCGUGUGUCUGUCGUGGGGGGGGGAAUCCCAUCUGGCCGCCCGGGGAAGUGCCGCCCCCGCAGCCACGUCUCCCGCAGCAGCCGCCUCGCUCGCACACCGCCUGGCAUCGCCUGGCACGGGGCUGGCACGGGCCCCCCGGAUCCCCCCCCCGGGGCUGGGACGAGGUGGGGAGAGGGGGACAGGGUAGAUGCCACCCUCUGGUGUGACACUGGGACCUGCCCUGGUGUGGCUCAGCCUCUGGCCACCCUGCCCCCUUCCCAGAAGCCUGGCUGGCACUGCCACCAGCACCCAACAGGUCCCCACUGGUACCCACUGGUCCCCAUCAGUGCCCACUGGUCCCCAUCACUUCCAUCAGCACCCAUCAGGUCCUCACUGGUACCUACUGGUCCCCAUCAUUGUCCACCUGGCACCCAAUGAGUCCCCAUCAGUACCCACUGGUCCCCACCACUGCCACCAGCACCCAACAGGUCCCUACACAGCACCCAAAGGGUCCCCAUCGGUACCCACUGGUCUCCAUCACUGCCCACCUGGCAACCAGCAGGUCCCCAACAUUGCCACCAGCACCCACUGGGUCCCCACUGGUACCCACUGGGUCCCCAUCACUGCCACCAGCACCCAACAGGUCCCCACUGGUACCCACUGGUCCCCAUCCCUGCCUGCCUGGCACCCACCAAGUCCCCAUGGGUAUCCAUUUGUCCCCAUCACUGCCACCAGCACCCAAUGGGUCCCCAGUGGUCCCCAUCAGUGCCCACUGAUCCCCACCGCUGCCACCAGCACCCAACAGGUCCCCAGGGAUAUCCACUUGUCCCCCUCACUGCCACCAGUACCUACCAGGUCCCUGAUGGUACCUACUGGUCCCCAUCAUUGUCCACCUGGCACCCAACGAGUCCCCACCAGAACCCACUGGUCUCCACAACCGCCACCAGCACCCAACAAGGCCCCAGUGGGACACACUGGGUCCCCAUCACUGCCUGCCUGGCACCCAAAGUGUCCCAUGGGUACCCACUGGUCUCCAUCAUUGCCCACCUGGCAACCAGCAGGUCCCCAUCAUUGCCACCAGCACCCAACAGGUCCCCACGGAUACCCACUGGUCUCCAUCACUGCCCACCUGGCAACCAGUAGGUCCCCAUUACGGCCACCAGCACCCAGUGGGUCCCCAUGGUACCCACCAGUCCCCAUCACUGCCCGCCUGACACCCCCUGGGUCCCCAAAACAUGGGCACACGGUCCCCAAGGCCGGUGGCACUUGUCCCCACCGCCAGCGGUUUCCCGUGACG